CUUCUUCCUUAUGGCGGCAGCCUGAAUACAGUCUGUCUCCCCAAGGCCAACCCCAGCCCCCCCCCCCCCCGAAGUCUGCAGCAGUUGCUGAAGAUAACCCUAUUCUACCUUCCCAAGGUCCUCUGCCAUCCUGGUUGCCCUCCUCUGGACACUCUCUAGCUUAUUCAUCUCCCUAUAAACAUGGUGCCCACAAUUGGAUUUCAAACGGCCCGACUAGAGCCAAGUGUCCUCUUUUGUUCUGAACGGCAGGUUUCUCUCAAUAUAUCUGAGAGCGUUUUCACUUUUUGGAGUGUCCUGUCGCAGCACUGCCUGACGUUUGGCAUAUACGCUAGAGAUUCCCACUGAAGGCUGCCCAGCGCCAACCAGAAAUCACAACUGUCUUUCUUUGUUUGUUGUUCCUUUUUUGAUUCAUGGUUACACGAUUCAUGAUUCCCCCCUCCCGAAGCCAACAAGCAGUUCCCCUGGCUUAUCCAUGGAUCAUUGUUCAAAACCCAUCUCUGUGUUCUUCAUAUUUGCAGUGGAGCGAUCUUUUAAUACCCCAACCCCAAUCACAUCCCCAUGGAACCACUACGUGAUUGAUGGAUCAUAUGUUGUUCUUCUGCGUUUCUGCUCCCACAGUUCUUUCUCUCCAUGCGGAUGGUGAUCUUUCUCAGAAUUGUUCUGGGUCACUGAAUUGCUGCUAACAACUGCCUCUUUCUACAAAGCCCAUCAGUGUCUAGUUGUGCUCAGGGACACAAUCCUGUGUUCCCAGUUCACUGAGGACCUAUCUCCUGGUGUUUUCUAAGAACUGAAGGAAAAGGAGGACACUAGUGGCCACACAUAUGCUGCUUAAAACAUUUUUUUAACCCUUACCUGAGAAUUAGGUGACCCUGGACCUUGUGACCCUGGACAAGUCACUUCACUCCUAUUGCCCAGCCCUUAUUGCUUUUCUGCUUUGGAACUAAUACUCAGUAUUGAUUCUAAGACUGAAGGCAAGGGUUAUUAAAAAAAAAAGAUACUAAGUACUGAUUUCAAGGCAGAAGAUCAGUAAGGGCUAGGCAAUGGGGAUUAAGUGGCUUGUCCACUCACACAGCUAGGAAGCGUCUGAUGUUGGAUUUGAACCCACAUCCUCUCAUUUCAUGCUCUAUCUACUGAGCCAUCUAACUUCCCCUACUACUUACAAUUUUACAAAACACUUUCCUCAGAAGUUAAGGAAAUAUACAGCAAAAAUACCAUCACUUCCAUUUUAUUGAUGAGAAAAGGGGCCAGCUAGUGGGGGUCCUGGAUUCAAAUCUAGCCUCAGAUACUACCAAGCUCCUUGACCCUGGGCAAGUCACUUAACCCCCUUGUCUAGCCUUUGCUACUCUUCUGACUUGGCACCAGUACUUAGUAUUGACAAGAUGGAAGGUAAGGGUUGAAAAAGAUGAGAAAAGUGAGGCUUGAAAUAUUUAAGUGAUCAGCCUGUUUGCCAUAUUUGGUUGGUGUCAGAUCAAACACACAGAGCUGGCAGGGACCAUUUAGACCAAUUUCCUCCUUUAAAGAAGGACACAGACACGUGAAGUUGAAUAGUGUCACAGACAGGAUUUGAACCCAGUUAUUGUGGCUUCAAACCCAGCACUCUUUCCCUGGAGACAAGACUUCUGAAUCCAAAUCCAGUAUUUUUUCUCCUCCAUGCUCAUCCUAGGUCAGAAAGGGUUAUUCUGUAGGAAUACAGAAGGGGUCAGAAGGGCUUGCUUGCACCCCACAAUGACACCUCUCAACCAUCUGACACAACAGUACACACAAGAUGCCAUUUGCCAGAGUUUUUCUUGACUUUAUCCUCAGGAAGCUGUGGAAUCUGCUCCUAUUUCUUUGUUACCAAUGAUUUAUCCAAGCCUUUUCUGAGUCCACUUUAGAUCAGGCUUUAUUGUUGUUUAGUCGUUUCAGUCUGGUGUGACUCUUCCUGACCCCACUUGGGAUUUUCUUGGCAAAGACACUGGAAUGGGAGGAGUCAAGGCUGAUUGAUAAGAGGAACCCGGAGCCCUUGGAUCACACCUUUCCUAGAACAUUGCUAUAGUCUCUUAUAGAUCUCAUUCCAUUGUAGAUUAUGGGACACACUGCUGCUAAAGUAAUUUUCCCUAAAUAUAGAUAGACAUAACCAUGUGACUUCCCCCUCACCUCUUUUUUUAAACCCUUCCUUCCAUCUUAAAUCAAAACUAAGUAUUGGCUCCAAGACAAGUAGCAGUAAGGGCUCCACAUUGGGGGUUAAGUGACUUGCCCAGGGUCACACUGCUAGGAAGUGUCUGAGGUCACAUUUGAACCCAGAACCUCCCAUCUCGUAAUACACUGAGCCACCUAGCUGCUCCCCUCUUUUCCUUUAACCUUCAGUUCAAGCGCCAUCUUCUGCAUUGAAAGCUAUCCUGAUCUCUUCCAAUUGUAUUGAGUUACUUUGUAUACAUGCUUUUAUUCACUUUACACAGAAUCUCUCAAUAUUCUUAGUGCAAUCCUAAACUAUCAAAGGUUAAAAGUACACCUAAAUUCUAAGCUAUUAAAAAUUAGUUUUGUUCCAGAUUUCUAAGCUUUUCCAGGUUAUUUGGUUGUCUUCUGUGGUAUCUGACUCUUUGGGACCUCAUUUGGGAUUUUCUUGGUAAGAUACUGGAGUGGUUUGCCAUUUCCUUCUCCAACUCAUUUUACAGAUGUGGAAACUGAGGCAAAGAGGGUUAAGUGACUUACUCAGGAUCACAUAGUAAGUGUCUGAGGCCAGAUUUGAACUCAGGAAAAUGCAUCUUCCUGACCCCAGGCCCAUCACCUAGCUUCCCUAACCUUUAAUACCUUAGAACCUUAGUGCAUUCCUAACCUUUAAAAAGGGGUAUCUAGGUAGCACAGUGGACAGAGAAUCAGGCCGGAAGUUAAGAAAAUCCAUCUUCCUGAAUUCAGAUCUAGUUGUGUGACCUUGGGCAAGUCAUGUAACCCUGUUUACCUCAGUUUCCUCCUAUGCAAAAUGAGCUGGAGAAGGAAAUGACCAAGCACUCCAGUGUCUUUGCCAAGAAAACCCUAAAUAGGUCACUCAGAGUCAGAUGCAACUCAAAAACAACUAAACAACAAUCCUGCAUUUGCUGGAAGACCUAAGUGUGUAACCCUCCCUGCAUUCUCUCCCCCCUUUGAGUAACAUAAAAUCAGUGGUGUUUGGCCCUACUGUAUGCCACUUAGGUGGUAAGAAGCCAAUUUUAGGUUGAUUUUGGUUGAGAUUUGGUGGAGGGAUGGAAGGAAGGAAGGAGAAUGGAAGGGGAUAAAGAUGAUGGAGAGAACAAAGAGGGCAAAGAGUGCUAGGGACACGAGGAUAAAGCAGAAUGAUUUGUCAACAAAAUCUGUCUUCCUCUUUGAGGCUUUAUAGGGCACACAUUUUCCCAUCCCUCUUAAUCCUUAUCUGACAGAGAGGAUUUUCUAGCCAUUAAAUCAUAGCUUUUCUGGAAAAAAAGAAUAACCACCCAAACCCCCAGAAUAAUGUCCCACCCCCUCCUUCCCACUACCUUAUCAUUUUCUGUCAAGCUCAGGCAAUGGAUGGAGUAGGGAAGUGGAAGGUCAGUUCUGAGGAAUGGAGGAAGACCCAGAAGGCAUCCUUCCAGGAACAGAAGACCUUGCUGGCUCUGAGAGGCAGCAUAAGAAAAGACUGGAGAUGUUUGUCCUCUUCUUGAAUGUUAUGGAUCCAUGACCCUACCUACACUACUCACUGGGUGGUUACACACCCUGGCUCUUUCCUUAAAGAAACAGUCUCCUCUGACAAACAAAGACUCUCCAUUCAGUCUCUUGCAACAUUCCAAGCCUGAUAGGGAAGGAUGGCACCAGGAGAGCCAGUUACUCAUUCCAAAUUAGAAAGCCCUGGCCAGGGAGGAUCACAGAAUCUUGGAGCUAAAAGGAAUGAGAGAGGCUGGAGGCUGCCUUGUCCAGCCUGUCUCUGGGGAAUCUCCUCUGCCUCAGGUUUUUUGAUAAUGAUAAUAAUUACAGCUGGAACAUCACACUUUAAGGGUUACUCCAGAAAAAAGACAACAACCCAAAGAAUUUGAGUCCGUGUCUAUUUGUGCAACAAAAUACAUGCAACAAAAAUACAGAAAGGUAUUUAUUAGAGCAGGAACAAAGGCUACAGCAACAGUAAUCUUACUUCCUGGUGCAUCUUUAAUUAAUCAUUCAGAGUUUAUUGAGCACUUGUAAUGUGCCUCCAUACUAGCCGGAAGGAGGGAAAGGCAGAGACAGAGAGACACACAGAUGUAUGUUCCUUUCAAGGAAUUUAUGAUUUUGGAGAAGAUGAAUGUAAGAAACUAUGGACACAGGCCAGCUAUGUGGCUCAGUGUAUAGAGUCAGGCCUAGAGAUGGGAGGUCCUGGGUUCACAUUUGUCCUCAGAUACUUCCUAGCUGUGUGACCCUGGGCAAGUCACUUACUCCCUCUGCCUACCCCUUACAGCUUUUCUGUUUUGGGAUCAAUACACAGUAUUGAUUCCAAGAUGAAAGGAAAGGAUUUUUUCCUUUUUUAAAAGAAACUAUGGAGAAGUGCUAAUGUUAGUGAUAUGAAUAAUAUUACACUUAGCAGGUAGCAUAGAGAGGAAAUCCAAGAUGAUUCUCCCAAAGCAAGUAAGUGCAAAUCAAAAUUGAUCUGUGAAACUGAGGUCAAGGGAAGGUGCCCAAGUGAAGAAAAAAACCACAGAAGUCAAGAAGUAGAAAGAACUCUGGGCCAGGAUUCAAAAUGGGGGAAUGGAAGGACUUAGUUGAGAAGGUGGCAUUUGAAUUGACCUUUAAAGGAUGAGAAGGAAUUCAACAAGGUCCUAGAGGAUAGGAAGAUGUUUCAGACCUCCGGAAUAGUCUAAACAAAGGUACAGAGGUGGGAAAGUACAAGGCAUGGCCAGGGGCCCCCAAAAGGAAUGUAGAGAAUACCUAUCUAACUGCCAACUGUUAUUGGAUUCACAUCUAGUAGAAUAUCUCUUGAUAAAAAUUCCGGAAUCCUGGAUCCAGGACUCAGUUCUUCUGAGGGCUGGGAAUGGACUCAGCAUUCUGUGCUUUCCAUUUAGUGCCCUCUUUUUUUUUUUAAACUCUUAAAAUUGGCACUAUGUAUUGGUUCCAAACAGAAGAGCUGAGCAAUGGGGGGUUAAACUUGCUUAGAGUCAAACAGCUAGGAAGUGUCUGAAGUCAAAUUCGAACCAGGAUGUCCUAUCUACAGGUCUGGUGCUCUAUCCAUUGAACCACCUAGUUUCCCCCCUAGUGUCCUCUGAGUGUCAUCUCACUACUGCCAGAUCAUCUCAUGACACAUUGGUCUAAAUAAAGGCAGGCCAGACCCACAAGAAAAAGUCUGUGACUUCCAAACCCAUGUUUCCUCUUGUUCCCCCCCCCUCCCCUGCUUCUGAGUCAUAGAAUCACAUAUUCAUAGACUUUUCCAGUUGGAAGGGAUCUAAGGAGUCUUCUAGUUCAACACAUAUAUGAUAGGUGGCUCAGUGGAUAUAGAGAGGUUGGCCUAGGGACACGAGGUCCUGGGUUCAAAUAUGGCUUUAGCCUUCCUAGCUGUGUGAGCCUGGGCAAGUCACUUGACUCCCAUUGCCUAGCCCUUACUGCUUUUCUGCCUUUUUUCUCUAAAGAGAAAAAAAAAAAAGGAAUGGAAUAAUCACCAUAACUUUCUUCAAAAGAGAUCAUCCAGACUUAAAGACUUUUAAGAAGAGGAUACCUACUUUCUCAAUUCAGUCCAUUUCACUUUUGUAUAUAUCUAAUUAAUAUGAAGUUUUUUCCUGAUAUCUGACUUAAAUUUGUCUCUUUGUUACUACUAUUCAGUGGAAACUCCUCUGGCUUCCUUCAACACUCAGCCCAUCUCUCAUCAUUCUUGAGGAGGUCUUUCCCUUUCUCUAUGUUGAUUAUGUCUCUUCUAAAAUUACCUGCCAUCCACUCUGUAUUAAUUUGAUUCCAUAAAUUAAAUCCUUUCUCCACAUAGCUGUCCUUCAAAUAUUUGAAAACAGUUAUCAUGCUCCCUCUUCUUUCCCAGUCUUUUGGUCUUUCCAGAAGAAACCUCUUCAGUUCUUUCAAUUUUCAUAGAAUAUGGGCUCCAGGUCCUUCACCAUCCUGGUUGCCCUUACCUGGAAAACCUGCUUUUCAAUGUCCUUCAGCUAAGUGGCAAAAUGGACAGUGUUCUGAGACUAGAGUUAAGGGAGACCUGGAAUCAAAUCUAGCCUCAGACACUUAAUAGCUAUGUGACACUGGGCAAGUCUGUUUGCCUCAGUUUCUUUAACUGUAAAAUGGAGAUAAAGUUUCACAGAGUUGUUAUGAAGAUGAAGAAAGCAUAUUUGAAGGCAUUUUGUAUACAGAAGGCACUUAAUGAAUACUUAUUUCCUUCCCCUUUCUUUCUUAAACCAAGGAUCCCAAAAUUGAACAAAAUAAUCUAUCAUGAUGCUCUAAUUUAUCAUGACAGAGUCCUUGACCUAGUGUUAAAUACUUUGCUAUGGAGUUUUGUUAUUCCUGUUUGCACAUUUCCUUUCUUACUCUGCACUGGCAGCCAAUGUCCCAAGAACUUGGGGAAGGGAGGUGAAACAGACAAAACAAGAUGGCCCUUAUAAUUCUCUUUAGUGAAGACAACUAUAUUUUUCAACUGAAAUGGAUUAAUCUCAAAAGGAAAAGAAAGGGAAAAAUCCCGACAGGUAGAAGGUUGUCAAAUUAUAGUUAUAGGGCAUGAGAAUGUUAUCCCAAGAUACUUCUGAACCAGGUAUAAUGAGCCAGCACAGCUUCCAGGCUCAUUGGUCCCAUUCCAUCUAAGGAACUUCCCCUUUGUAGAUUAGUGCCUUCUUUUUGAUUUACAAUCUUAGAAAGGUUCCUGAAUUGACAGUGUGAUAUAGCAAGCCUUCUUCUGCCUCUGCUCCAAUCUCCUCCCCAAAAUUAAAUGCAUCAUUAGCUGUAUUAAGUGAAGUAUAUGUUCCAGGAAUAAAGAGGAGUGAGGAUCUGCCCAUGUGAUAUCAUCUUUCAAGUAUUAUGCUGAGUUCUAAGUGUUUUCGUUUAGGAGGGCAUUGGUAAAUAGGAAAGAAGCCAGGAUCCUGAAGAACCUUAAGUCCUUGUCAUAUUGAGGAAGGAUUGAAGGAACUGUGGAUAUUUAACUUAGAGAAGAGAAGACUUGGGGCUUUUUUAAAGGCAUAUUUUAUUUGGGAAGUAUAGAUUGAACUAGCUGGCCACUACAAUUCCUACUGACUCUAAAAAAAUUAUGCCAAUGCUUUCAUUAUUUAUUUAAAACCUUACCUUCUAUCUCAAUAACAACUUUUAAGACAGAAGGGCAAGGGCUAGGCAAACAGAGUUAAGUGACUUGCCCAGGGUCAUACAAUUAGAAGCUAAUAGGUUUAAAGAGGCAAAAUCAGGGCAGCCAAAUGGUUCAAUAGAUAGGGAGCCAAGAGUAGAGAUGAGAGGUGCUGGGUUCAAAUUUGAUCUCAACUAGGCAAAUCACUUAGCUCUGAUUGCCUAGUCCUUACUGUUCUUGUGCCUUGGAACAUUGAUUCUAAGAUGAGGGUUUUAAAAAAAAUGCAAAUCUUUAUAUUUCAAAAGUUUCUCUUUCUAUGACUAACUAGUGCUUAAGAUAACAUAGCUAUAGCUAUAGUUACAGUUAGGACUUGAA